GUGUCAGCAGCCGCGGUAAUACGUAGGUGGCAAGCGUUGUCCGGAAUUAUUGGGCGUAAAGCGCGCGCAGGCGGUUCCUUAAGUCUGAUGUGAAAGCCCCCGGCUCAACCGGGGAGGGUCAUUGGAAACUGGGGAACUUGAGUACUGAAGAGGAAAGCGGAAUUCCACGUGUAGCGGUGAAAUGCGUAGAGAUGUGGAGGAACACCAGUGGCGAAGGCGGCUUUCUGGUCAGUAACUGACGCUGAGGCGCGAAAGCGUGGGGAGCAAACAGGAUUAGAAACCCGCGUAGUCC
rnacentral:rRNA from 1 species